rnacentral:rRNA from 1 species
CAGUCAGGGGGUCGUAGCAAUACGGCAACCGGCGAACGGGUGCGUAACGCGUAUACAAUCUGCCUAUAUCUGGUGAAUAGCUCUGCGAAAGUAGAAUUAAUACACCAUAUUAUCAUUUGACGGCAUCGUUGUGUGAUGAAAGGAUUUAUUCGGAUAUAGAUGAGUAUGCGUGACAUUAGCUAGUUGGUGAGGUAACGGCUCACCAAGGCGACGAUGUCUAGGGGUUCUGAGAGGAAUGUCCCCCACACUGGUACUGAGAUACGGACCAGACUCCUACGGGAGGCAGCAGUAGGGAAUAUUGGGCAAUGGGCGAAAGCCUGACCCAGCCAUGCCGCGUGAAGGAAUGAAGGCGUUAUGCGUUGUAAACUUCUUUUAUACAGGAAGAAAAAGCUCUUGCGAGAGAAAUUGACGGUACCGUAUGAAUAAGCAUCGGCUAACUCCGUGCCAGCAGCCGCGGUAAUACGGAGGAUGCAAGCGUUGUCCGGAUUUAUUGGGUUUAAAGGGUGCGUAGGUGGUUAUAUAAGUCCGUGGUAAAAUCCUGCUGCUUAACAGUAGACUUGCCAUGGAUACUGUAUAACUUGAGUACUGAAGAG